GACGUAGGGCGCGAGCGUUGUCCGGAUUUAUUGGGCGUAAAGAGCUCGUAGGCGGCUUGUCGCGUCGUCCGUGAAAACUUGGGGCUCAACCCCAAGCUUGCGGUCGAUACGGGCAGGCUAGAGUUCGGUAGGGGAGACUGGAAUUCCUGGUGUAGCGGUGAAAUGCGCAGAUAUCAGGAGGAACACCGAUGGCGAAGGCAGGUCUCUGGGCUGUAACUGACGCUGAGGAGCGAAAGCAUGGGGAGCGAUCCGG
rnacentral:rRNA from 1 species